UGUCUGCCCCUGCCGUGCCCCAGCGAUUGUAGUUUUCAAAGUCUUUAAGCUGUGUUUUUUUUUUAUAAUUUGAGGUUUUUUCGAAGUAUCGUAUGUUUUGAAGUCGGAUUUAAGUGUAUAAAAGAGUGUUUAUUGUUAUGCGUUCUACCGUGCCAUCCCCGUGCACCCUUGCCUACCACUUUCAAAAGAACCUGCGCAGAACCAUGGCUGUCUCGCGCAUGUAGGGGUGAAGGGUGAUGGUGGGGAAGGGCCUGGAGCAGUGGUGGGGAUAAGUCGUUGGGGCGAGGUAUCUUUCCCCACCAUUCUGACUCUCCUGCUGUCCUGCAUGCACGACUCAUACAGAGUCAUUGAUUGAGGUGCUGGUGAACUGAUUGAAGACUUAAAAGAGUGAAAAUUUAAAAACGUACGUUUUCAGGAAAAGCACUUUGCAAUUUUUUUCCCCUUUUUUCAAAACUCUUAUUAUUUUUUUUAUUUCAUUAACAUUUGAAGUUUCAUAAAAUGUCCAUGGUAACGCAAUAUCUUUGGUAGUUUUUUUUUUAAAGAGCAUUUUUAGUGGAAAAACACAAAAUCCUGUCACGACCAUAACAGACGUUUAAAUUAAUAUUAAAAAUAGUUAAUACUAUUUUUAUAACUAUGUUUUGCUAUAAACUAAUUUACUUUUAUGACCAUUAUACAAUAAAAAGGUCACUGAGCUUUUGGUAUAUUUGGUCUUUCUAGAAAAAAAUAAAAAAACUCAAAAAAUUGAAAAAAAGCCAAUAAAAUCUUUUUAAGUUUGUAUAACUACGAAAAAACUUACCUGAGACCCGAAAAAUCGUUAUGUUUGUAUAGAGGUUUGCUUCUUUUGUGUAUAAAACAUUGAAAUAUGACGAUAUUUUAAUUUUUGAAAUUUUUAUGAUAGAAAUCAUAAACGUGAUGGUCAGGGACAAGCGGUACGGUCGUGAAUUUUCUGAAAUAAUCUAAAUCUUUCUAAACAAUCCUUCAAUUAUACUGUUAGUUAUAAUAAAAAUAUGUGUUUCAAUUGAACUAAACUGUUCAAUUUACAAUUAUAUUAAAGUUAUUGUCACGACCAAACACACUAUAAUCCAUAAGGCUGGAUUGGUCGUGAAAAAACCCGCGAUGGUCGUGAAACUUUGGUCGUGAAAUUACGUGUUAUUUGGCUCUGUUCUGAUGGUAGCCCUGCACCUCAUGUUCGAGGAUACAAAGUGGACAUCUAGGUUAAUCUAGCAAUUGAAAUAUCUUAUAAAAAAAAAUUAACACCAUGUCUACUUCAUCGAAUGACUACGUACGGUCAUGGACACACCAAAAUUACAAAAAAACACAAUCUUUCCUUUAUUAAUCUUGUAAUUCCUCCUUUCAACUCGAAACGACCGGCACUACAAUCCUGACGUACACCCCGAACUAGUCUCUAAAACCAAUUGACUCCAUCGACGCCAGGCUUGCCACUGUCGUGCUCCAAAGUUGAAAAUUUUUCCCAAAUGGUCGUGACGCCAA